rnacentral:rRNA from 1 species
UACGGAGGGGGCUAGCGUUGUUCGGAAUUACUGGGCGUAAAGCGCACGUAGGCGGCUUUGCAAGUCAGAGGUGAAAGCCCGGGGCUCAACCCCGGAAUUGCCUUUGAGACUGCAUCGCUAGAAUUGUGGAGAGGUAAGUGGAAUUCCGAGUGUAGAGGUGAAAUUCGUAGAUAUUCGGAAGAACACCAGUGGCGAAGGCGACUUACUGGACACAUAUUGACGCUGAGGUGCGAAAGCGUGGGGGAGCAAACAGGG